GGUUAAGCGACUAAGCGUACACGGUGGAUGCCCUGGCAGUCAGAGGCGAUGAAGGACGUGCUAAUCUGCGAUAAGCGUCGGUAAGGUGAUAUGAACCGUUAUAACCGGCGAUUUCCGAAUGGGGAAACCCAGUGUGUUUCAACACACUAUCAUUAACUGAAUCCAUAGGUUAAUGAGGCGAACCGGGGGAACUGAAACAUCUAAGUACCCCGAGGAAAAGAAAUCAACCGAGAUUCCCCCAGUAGCGGCGAGCGAACGGGGAGGAGCCCAGAGCCUGAAUCAGUGUGUGUGUUAGUGGAAGCGUCUGGAAAGGCGCGCGAUACAGGGUGACAGCCCCGUACACAAAAAUGCACAUGCUGUGAGCUCGAUGAGUAGGGCGGGACACGUGGUAUCCUGUCUGAAUAUGGGGGGACCAUCCUCCAAGGCUAAAUACUCCUGACUGACCGAUAGUGAACCAGUACCGUGAGGGAAAGGCGAAAAGAAC
rnacentral:rRNA from 1 species